GUCCAAAAUAAUUCCUUUAUUCAGUAGUAAAAGUAAAUAUAAAACGUUUCGCUGAUGUGGGAUAAAAACAUACAACCAUAAUAACAAUGCCUACUCCUCUCUUUGCUCUGUCAUUUCUAAAACAUGAAUGACCCUGUAUUGCAAUGCCAUAAGGAAUGUCACUGUAAACAAGGAGCUAAAGACCAAUUAAUAUAUGGAUAUCUAUAGAGAUCUUUGGAUAAAAUACUAUGCUGAACAGUGAUGACUGUACCAUGUGACUAAAACUGGUUUUGAAUGAUAAAAUCAUUUGCAUUAAAAUAGAUAAAAUAUUCAUAGUUCUAUUAUAACCCUCAACACACACCUGGCACCUUCCAAGUGAUAAGUAGUCAAAC